rnacentral:rRNA from 1 species
AGAACGAACGCUGGCGGCAGGCUUAACACAUGCAAGUCGAACGCGUGUAGCAAUACACGAGUGGCGCACGGGUGAGUAACGCGUGGAUAUCUGCCUUUUGGUUCGGAAUAACCCCGGGAAACUGGGGCUAAUACCGGAUGGUUCCUACGGGAUAAAGAUUUAUCGCCAAAAGAUGAGUCCGCGUACGAUUAGCUAGUUGGUGAGGUAAUGGCUCACCAAGGCGACGAUCGUUAGCUGGUCUGAGAGGACGAUCAGCCACACUGGGACUGAGACACGGCCCAGACUCCUACGGGAGGCAGCAGUGGGGAAUAUUGGACAAUGGGGGCAACCCUGAUCCAGCCAUGCCGCGUGAGUGAUGAAGGCCUUCGGGUUGUAAAGCUCUUUUGGCGGGACGAUGAUGACGGUACCGCAGAAUAAGCCCGGCUAACUUCGCGCCAGCAGCCGC